UUGAAGUGAUGGAGGAAUUUGCUAAUUAACGGAGUUGCCUGUAAUUGUCAUCCCACCAAUACAAGCAAAUACAUCAAAAAAUCUAUAUGCGGUUUACCGAGUUUACACUUAUGAGCAGGUUCGUAAUAUAAGGCCUUAUAAUGGAGAAAAGAGAACCUAUCUUUGUGAUUGCUUUCGGUCCCUUGAUGAUGAUCAAUAUUGUUGCCGAGAAGAUCUUUGUUGGAGCAUAGGAUCAGAAUUUUUGGAGCAGUGCUAUGGUCUAUAUUCAGUUCUAUGAAAAAAAAUUACAAUAAGUACUAAGAUAGGAAAAUUUAAGAGGCAAUUUCAGAAGAAAAAAAUAGCAAAAACAACUAUAGGUAAAGAUCCAAAAG